AGCAGCCGCGGUAAUUCCAGCUCCAAUAGCGUAUAUUAAAGUUGUUGCAGUUAAAAAGCUCGUAGUUGAAUUUCGGGAUCAAAGAAUCGGUCAUGCCUUGGUAUGUACUGGUUUUAUUGGUUCUCACCUUCUAAAGAACCAUGAUGUCAUUCAUUUGAUGUUAUGGGGAAUUAGGACUGUUACCUUGAAAAAAUUAGAGUGUUUAAAGCAAGCUUACGCUUGAAUACAUUAGCAUGGAAUAAUGAAAUAGGACAUCAGAUUCUAUUUUGUUGGUUUCUAGGAUCGAUGUAAUGAUUAAUAGGGAUAGUUGGGGGCAUUAGUAUUCAAUUGUCAGAGGUGAAAUUCUUGGAUUUAUUGAAGACUAACUACUGCGAAAGCAUUUGCCAAGGAUGUUUUCAUUAAUCAAGAACGAAAGUUAGGGGAUCGAAGACGAUCAGAUACCGUCGUAGUCUUAACCAUAAACUAUGCCGACUAGGGAUCGGAUGAUGUUAAUUUUUUCAAUGACUCAUUCGGCGCCUUA
rnacentral:misc_RNA from 1 species